UCGUCCCCCUUCUGCAUGACCCAGAGUCCCUGCCCCAUCGGCCUUCUCCCUCCCUGGGAUGACAUGCACCUCUGAUGCCAUCAGCACAAGAGGAAAGAUGACAAGGAAAUACACACAGGAGGGUGUUUCCGGCCAGGUCUUGAAGGCCUCAAGCCCCAGCCCCAGAAGAAGAUGCUGAACCACCUCAAGAGCUACCUCCAGCUCCCACUGUGGUGCCUGAGGCAGCUCCAGAGGCCAAGGGGUCUG